rnacentral:lncRNA from 1 species
AAAGUUUUCCCAAGUCUUUUACAUCCCGUCAUAAACCUGUCUUAUAGCCUGAAUAUUCAAGAUACACUGUUUUCUUUGCUCACAAAUUUUUUUUGGUAAGGUUAAAGAUAUGGGAGAAGUACGGAUACACUACACAGAUGACUCGUCAAACACAUGUUAUUUAUUGAAAGAAAAAGCAAACAACUAAAACACACAAAACAUACUAAAAAUAAAGGAAAGCGAUAAAAAGCGAUAAAAAU